rnacentral:rRNA from 1 species
AUUGAACGCUGGCGGCAUGCCUUACACAUGCAAGUCGAACGGUAACGGGCCUUCGGGUGCCGACGAGUGGCGAACGGGUGAGUAAUACAUCGGAACGUGCCCGAUCGUGGGGGAUAACGAGGCGAAAGCUUUGCUAAUACCGCAUACGAUCUACGGAUGAAAGCAGGGGACCGCAAGGCCUUGCGCGGACGGAGCGGCCGAUGGCAGAUUAGGUAGUUGGUGGGAUAAAAGCUUACCAAGCCGACGAUCUGUAGCUGGUCUGAGAGGAUGAUCAGCCACACUGGGCCUGAGACACGGCCCAGACUCCUACGGGAGGCAGCAGUGGGGAAUUUUGGACAAUGGGCGCAAGCCUGAUCCAGCCAUGCCGCGGGCAGGAUGAAGGCCUUCGGGUUGUAAACUGCUUUUGUACGGAACGAAAAGCCUUCUUUUAAUACAGGAGGGUCAUGACGGUACCGUAAGAAUAAGCACCGGCUAACUACGU